AGAGUUUGAUCCUGGCUCAGAACGAACGCUGGCGGCGUGCUUAACACAUGCAAGUCGAACGGGUUUAUUAGAUGUAGCAAUACAUUUAAUAGAUUAGUGGCGCACGGGUGAGUAACACGUAGGUAACCUACCCUUCAGUGGGGGACAACAGAGGGAAACUUCUGCUAAUACCGCAUAAGACCACGAUCUGGGAUGAUAGUGGGAAAAGGAUUUAUUCGCUGAGGGAUGGGCCUGCGGCCUAUCAGGUAGUUGGUGAGGUAAUGGCUCACCAAGCCUGCGACGGGUAGCCGGACUGAGAGGUCGAUCGGCCACACUGGAACUGAGACACGGUCCAGACUCCUACGGGAGGCAGCAGUGGGGAAUAUUGCACAAUGGGGGAAACCCUGAUGCAGCGACGCCGCGUGGAGGAUGACGGCCUUCGGGUUGUAAACUCCUUUUGCAGGGGACAAUGGUGAUGGUACCCUGCGAAUAAGCCACGGCUAACUCUGUGCCAGCAGCCGCGGUAAGACAGAGGUGGCGAGCGUUGUUCGGAAUUACUGGGCUUAAAGGGCGCGUAGGCGGUGGUUUAAGUCUAGGGUGGAAUGCUACAGCUCAACUGUAGAGCUGCCUUGGAAACUGGAUUACUUGAGUCGGUGAGGGGAAGGUGGAAUUCCAGGUGUAGCGGUGAAAUGCGUAGAUAUCUGGAGGAAGGUCUGUGGCGAAGGCGACCUUCUGGCACUUGACUGACGCUGAGGCGCGAAAGCGUGGGUAGCAAACAGGAUUAGAUACCCUGGUAGUCCACGCCCUAAACGGUGGGUAUUAGGUGUGGGGCCUUCAUGGGUUCCGUGCCGUAGCGAAAGCAUUAAAUACCCCGCCUGGGGAGUACGGCCGCAAGGUUAAACUCAAAGGAAUUGACGG
rnacentral:rRNA from 1 species